rnacentral:lncRNA from 1 species
AAAAAAUAUUUAGUCGCUGUAUGUACUAGUAAAGUAAGAAAUGAACAAUCCCCAGUGGGGCUGCUCUUUGACUUUGAGAUCCGUGUCAAGCUUUGGUUCUUCACGAUAAACAGCAUCUUCCAUAUUGCCUCCAAAGUUAAACGUAUGCACGAGUUAAAUUGUAGUGUCGGCUUGAGCAUCAGCGAAGAACCGAUUAAUGUUACUUAUUCCUACCCUAUGAGCAUCUUAACAAAAGAAUAUAGGACAGUAAGUCUCAGGACAAUGUCACAAUUCAGUUUUUAGAAUAUUUUUCUUUAAACAAGACAAAAAUAAUUAAAAAAAUUGUUUGUUCUUGAACUGUUAAUAUUAUAUAUAAAAC